rnacentral:rRNA from 1 species
UACGUAGGGUGCAAGCGUUGUCCGGAAUUAUUGGGCGUAAAGAGCUCGUAGGCGGUUCGUCGCGUCGGCUGUGAAAACCCGGAGCUCAACUCCGGGCCUGCAGUCGAUACGGGCGGACUUGAGUGUUGCAGGGGAGACUGGAAUUCCUGGUGUAGCGGUGAAAUGCGCAGAUAUCAGGAGGAACACCAGCGGCGAAGGCGGCGCUCUGGGCCGGUACUGACGCUGAGGAGCGAAAGCGUGGGGAUCAAACAGG